UACGUAGGGGGCAAGCGUUGUCCGGAAUCAUUGGGCGUAAAGAGCGUGUAGGCGGCCCGGUAAGUCCGCUGUGAAAGUCCAGGGCUCAACCCUGGGAUGCCGGUGGAUACUGUCGGGCUCGAGUCCGGAAGAGGAGUGUGGAAUUCCUGGUGUAGCGGUGAAAUGCGUAGAUAUCGGGAGGAACACCAGUGGCGAAGGCGGCUUCCUGGCCUGUUCUUGACGCUGAGGCGCGAAAGCUAGGGGAGCAAACGGG
rnacentral:rRNA from 1 species